CCAUAGCCCAGACAGCAGCGGCAUCCUUUCUGUGCCUUCUUUAGGCAGAGAAAGAUACAGCGGAUGGCUGGAAUAAGC
rnacentral:sRNA from 1 species